CUAUCUGUGGUGUUCUUCCUUUUGUUCUUCUUUUUGUUCUCUACGUUUUCGUGUUACAUGGGAAUGAAGAGAAAAAAUACAAGGAGGGAGAGAAGAGAGAAGGGAGAGAAGAGAGAGAUGAAGGAAGAUAAAAUGGAGUUGGAUUUUCUUUUUCUUUUUUUUGGCAUU
rnacentral:ribozyme from 13 species